GGAACAUUGACCAAUCCAAAUUCCUGUGUGGUAGUGGUUUGUGUUCAGAUUUCCCGUGUUAAUCUAUCUGUAAGAACUUUGUAAACAUCUUUUGUUCUCACGUAUAUGGAUAGGCUUGCAUUAGGUUUCGUGAGAUAAAAUUUGGAGAACUCAAUUUAUUGUCAAAAGUGAGCCAAUGUGGUGUCUUUUGCAACCCGCCGUUUCACUUUCGUUACGUCAAGGUUGACCUCGAAUGUCAAACAAGACCUGCUCAUCAUUAUUUUAUUUUCAAGUUUAUUAACUAUUCUGUUAUUGUUUAAGUUCGGAAAAAUUACCAUUGAGAUCAGAAAAGCAUGCUCUUUCGUGUUAUGCAGCAAAACCGGGGAAAUAUUUUUCAUUUUAGGACCCUAUUCACACAAAUCUCGCGUUACAUUUGAAAAGGGCCUAUCCCUAGAACGUAAACAUUGAGAAAAAUCGAUGCAAACAUCCCGCAUAGAAAUUUACAGUAUCCAAUACUGUUUGAACCAUUUUGCAACCAAUCAUUUUAUUGUCACCUAUUUGUUAUAUAUUCCACGUAUGCUCUAUUUAUUACAGUACAAGGACAAUGCGACAGUUAGUACUAUUGUAACAUUAGGCAAUGAUGUCCAUUUAUUGUUUGAAAUAAUCCCACUGUUCGAAGACUGUACCGAACAUCAAUUUAACCCCUGAUUUAACCAUAACUUUUGAUGUUCGCUCCCGACAUCGGUCUGCCAACCCAUCACACACAGAAAAAAUGGCAGCCAUGUUUUGUUUACAAAAAUUAUUUCCUGCAGAAAUUCGCUCCGCGUUAUUAGUUGAUAAUAUGUUUAAAGAAUAAUUUUGGCACAAGCAGUGAUGAUGAACUAGAUGGAGCAGCAAGAGCAUCGUGCACGCCAGUACCGGAUCGGCAGAAAUCCUUGGAUGUUCCUUCCCGACGAGUUCGCAUGCAAGCAACUGCAUUAGCGCCGAUAAAAUAAGUAUCCGGCAGUGCUUUCGCCGACAUAUUCCAACCUUUCUUCAUCUUCUGUUGGGCCGUCGAUUCCAUGCAUCUCGGAUUUUAUUCCAGUGAAGAAUAUUGUGUAGAGUGUUAUCAGUUGCCAGAAAAUAAGUUGUGCCAUUAUUUAUUUUAUUUAUUGUGUGUGAUUGAUCUUCAAUAAAUGUAUAAAGUGAUUCGAAAAAA